rnacentral:rRNA from 1 species
CCUACGGGAGGCAGCAGUGAGGAAUAUUGGUCAAUGGACGCGAGUCUGAACCAGCCAUGUAGCGUGCAGGAUGACUGCUCUAUGGGUUGUAAACUUCUUUUAUAUGGGGAUAAAGUUCAGUAUGUAUACUGUUUUGUAAGUACCAUAUGAAUAAGGAUCGGCUAACUCCGUGCCAGCAGCCGCGGUAAUACGGAGGAUCCAAGCGUUAUCCGGAUUUAUUGGGUUUAAAGGGAGCGUAGGCGGACGGUUAAGUUAGUUGUGAAAGUUCGCGGCUCAACCGUAAAACUGCAGCUGAUACUGUGUGGCUUGAGUGCAGCAGAGGUAGGCGGAAUGCAUGGUGUAGCGGUGAAAUGCUUAGAGAUCACGAAGAACACCGAUUGCGAAGGCAGCUUACUAAACUGUAACUGACGCUGAUGCUCGAAAGUGUGGGUAGCAAACAGGAUUAGAUACCCGUGUAGUC